rnacentral:lncRNA from 1 species
UGGACUUGCUAAUUACACUCCUACAAUGAUAAGUUCAUCAGAAACAUUCCAUUUAGGAGUGACUAGACCUGUUCAUAGAGAUUCUGAAACAACUGUAAAACCAGAAAAUGAGUUAACGGAGACCACAGAAGAUGUAUUAAAACCAGCAGAUCCAGAAGACAUGUCCUCUUGGUCUUCAUCUUCUACGACAUCGGAUCUUCUCUUUUAAGCAGUGAUGGAAUCAUAUUUUGAGCUGAAGUUACUUUUAUUUGAGAAAAUUUGGUUGAAUUUGUUAAGAGUCUGAACUGAAUUUACGAUUUUAACAUCAGAAGAACAGAAGCAAUGUCGAUCUAUUGUGGCAAAUGAAAUGAGAUGUUGAUCGAUUGCAUUGAAUGAAACAAGCAAACUAGAAUGGUUAGCAGAAUCUAAUUUAAACUUUAAUAUGAAAUUGUUCCAUUACGAAUCCGACAGUCGCCAAACCCACCCGAGAAGAAACGAUCGGAGCAAGAUUCCAUCUUCUGUCCGACUUCAUUAUUAUGCAAAUUGUUCUCACUGCCAAAAGUAGGAAUCCGAGUUUGAUCGUGGACGAUUCGUUCUGUCGAGUGAGGUUUGUUAAAUGUAAAAGCAUCUAAGUUUGAAUGUUGAUUAUUAUCUUUGUUCCAAUUUGAGUUAAAUUACAUUUUGCUCAGGAGGUUAUGAACCUUAUUUUGCAAGUGUUAAAAUAACAGUUCUGUUAAUCCUUUGGUAAUGCUGUCGAGUAAAUUUAAAAGCUAAAAAGUUCUCAGAAAAAUGUUUGUACGAAAAUAGGUGUGUAUAUUUGUAUAGAAUAUUAGUCAAUUCAGCUUCGUAUUUAUAUAUCAGAUAUGCUGCACGUAUGUUUACGAUAUUGAUUUUUAAGUGAGAAUGUGCUCUGGUAUACAUUAUCUAAAAACACUUUAACUUAAAUUAUUAAGAUCUUUCCACAAAAAAAAUGGUGCAUAUGCAUUUAUAUUCGACGUUCGAUUAACAUUUUGUUACGUGUAUCACUAGUAGAAAACAAAGUAUUACGACUUAGACGUGAAUGGAUUAAUUGGAUUUGAAUUGUGUAAUGUAAAUUUUGCAAUUGCAAGAAAAAUAGAACUUGUAUACUUAAAGAAAUUAUGCAUAUAAGAUUAUAAAUAUAUACUUAUAGAUGGACUAAAGCCAUUUGUUGAUUGCUAGAGUAGUCCAACGUAUAUCUUAGCAAAGGAAUCACUUGUUUUUUUUUUUACCAACUUCUUUGUACUCGUUCUACAAUUUGACUUUUGUACCACUCAAAUUUAGAAUUUUUACAUUUUUCAAGAAUCAAAUAGAACUUUUUUACAUUCCCAGAAUAAUUAGUAUAGUUUUUGGACCAAACCGAGAAAUAAACUUCUUUAUUUUGAUCAAGAUUUACACACACGGUUUUGAAAGAAUUUCAUAUAAAAUGCAACUUUUGUCUCAAGUUUUAUAAACUAUUUUUAGGUCACAUUAUUAAUCCGUAACUUAUUAUGUGGCACAGAAAACAUUUACAUUUUCUGACGAUCUGCCCAUUGCCCUUACACAUACAUAUCUAACAGUGAUAGAAGAGUAUAUUUGCAUGCGUACUCCGUAUCGUGUAACCGUGGUGUCGUGCUGAAAAUGUGAUCUGACGUCGUACGAUAGUAUUUCAUUCGAAGCAGUGUCGGUGUUUAAGUAAUAUUGAUGGCAUAGUCUCGUACAAAUAUAUUAACAGAUGAUAAUUCCUUUUUUUUUUUUUUUUUUCUUUGUGGACCAUCUGACCGGAGCAGAACGACAUACUCUUUAACAAUUUUUGUAUAUAAUUUAUAACAAUAAUUACUUUUCUUUAUAUGAAAUAACUUGAAACAGUUUCCUCGAAGCAUGUGGUAACAAUUACCAUUGUUUACAAUUUAGAUGUAUUUUUUAAAUUGUGCCAGAUGGCUUGUAAAAUUUCAGUGAUAAUAAAAUUUGUUCUAGUGAUAAA